rnacentral:rRNA from 1 species
UGGGGAAUCUUGCACACUGGGGGAAACCCUGAUGCAGCGACGCCGCGUGAGCGAUGAAGGUUUUCGAAUCGUAAAGCUCUGUCCUAUGGGAAGAUAAUGACGGUACCAUAGGAGGAAGCCCCGGCUAACUACGUGCCAGCAGCCGCGGUAAUACGUAGGGGGCGAGCGUUGUCCGGAAUUACUGGGCGUAAAGGGUUCGCAGGCGGCAUGACAAGUCCGAUGUAAAAGGCGAAAGCUCAACUUUCGUAAGCAUCGGAAACUGUCAAGCUGGAGUGAAGGAGAGGCAAGUGGAAUUCCUAGUGUAGCGGUGGAAUGCGUAGAUAUUAGGAGGAAUACCGGUGGCGAAGGCGACUUGCUGGACUUCAACUGACACUGAGGAACGAAAGCGUGGGUAGCAAACAGG